rnacentral:rRNA from 1 species
GACGAACGCUGGCGGCGUGCUUAACACAUGCAAGUCGAACGGAAAGGCCCUGCUUUUGUGGGGUGCUCGAGUGGCGAAAGGGUGAGUAACACGUGAGUAACCUGCCCUUGACUUUGGGAUAACUUCAGGAAACUGGGGCUAAUACCGGAUAGGAGCUCCUGCUGCAUGGUGGGGGUUGGAAAGUUUCGGCGGUUGGGGAUGGACUCGCGGCUUAUCAGCUUGUUGGUGGGGUAGUGGCUUACCAAGGCUUUGACGGGUAGCCGGCCUGGGAGGGUGACCGGCCACAUUGGGCCUGAGAUACGGCCCAGACUCCUACGGGAGGCAGCAGUGGGGAUUAUUGCACGAUGGGCGGAAGCCUGAUGCAGCAACGCCGCGUGCGGGAUGACGGCCUUCGGGUUGUAAACCGCUUUCGCCUGUGACGAAGCGUGAGUGACGGUAAUGGGUAAAGAAGCACCGGCUAACUACGUG